UCCCACUGGAGAGCUUCCUUCAUUCUCUACAAAUCCCGGGCCAUGUGUGUGCAUAGGAAGUCUUCCUGUAUGCUAAGGAAAACCAGCUUUUAGUGAGAAAGAGACACACAGUGCCAUUUUGCCCUCACGGGUUGUCCUUUGUCCUUUGUCUCUCCCACAUCACACCUGUCCUCCCUUUUCAAUCACUGGCCUUGCUGACUGCAGUCUCAGCACCAGAUGCAGAAGACACAGGUUUACACAGACUGCUUAACUGGCUUCUUUGAUUGCAAAAGACCCAAUCCCCAUAGUCAAUCUUUUAUUCUAAGUCACUCCUAGUGAUCAUCUUCCCUGAUCCCUGAUCAAAUUCUAACUGAUAUAAUUCCCAUUUCCACAGAGGUCCCAGAAGGCACACUGGAAAAAGAGAAUGAAGGAAAUGAUUAAUCACAUAAGGCCUCUGGAGGAAUGGGAGAAUAUCUCAGAGAAUUCAGGGACAAGAUACAGUUCUUUCAAUGAAAUGCAUAAAGAUUGAUGCCAUGGAAACUACAAUGGCUAGUGUCAACUGAAAUGAGUCUGAGACCUACGUCCACAGUGCUGCACGGAUCCCAAAUCAAUGAGCAAGAGGAAAUUUGGGAAGACACAGGGUUUAUUGGAAGAUGAACAGUUGCAUUAUCAUUUGAUGGCAGGAAGAAUCAGUAACAGACUUCCUUCUGCUGUGCCCGCGUCUCUCACCACAGCCCCAAGGCUGGGAUUCUUACAGAAGCAAGGCUUCCUUUCAAGGCACCCAGGGCCCUAUCGACGUAUCACUUAUCCUUCUUAAUCACUGCAGCAUCAGGGGAAAGUGAGGCCUGACAACCCUCUGAUCAUUGCUAAACAUAUCGAAUGUAGUUGAAAUCAAACGGUUGUACCAAAGUCACGCGUUACUGAGCAGUGGUUUAAAAACGUUUGGACCUGCUGUGAGAACCUCCUCAAAAUCCCACAGACUCCUCCAUGGAAUUGCUUAAGGCCUUGAUCAACAAAUUUUGAAGACCACCAGGUCACGGCCAGAAGGAUGAAACUUACAGGACGUCUGAGCCCUACUGGGAGAACUGGGGCCAAGUAAGAGUUGAUGGAAGCAGGACCUUCAGCGUUUGCCUGUUCACCUCAAGGGAAGGAGAGAGUGUG